AAUAUUAAGGAUUCAUUUAGUUAAAACAAGCUCGUAUAUUUUGCUGAAAAGUUACCUGUAAGUUAGUUUUGUCUUAAUUAAAUUUUAAGCCUAGAUAUUU